UACGUAGGGCGCAAGCGUUGUCCGGAAUUAUUGGGCGUAAAGAGCUCGUAGGCGGUUUGUCGCGUCUGCUGUGAAAACCUAAGGCUCAACCUUGGGCUUGCAGUGGGUACGGGCAGACUAGAGUGCGGUAGGGGUGACUGGAAUUCCUGGUGUAGCGGUGGAAUGCGCAGAUAUCGGGAGGAACACCGGUGGCGAAGGCGGUUCUCUGGGCCUGACCUGACGCUGAGGAGCGAAAGCGUGGGGAGCGAACAGG
rnacentral:rRNA from 1 species